rnacentral:rRNA from 1 species
AAUGAUUUCCCUAGUAACGGCGAGUGAAGAGGAAAGAGCUCAAAGUUGGAAACUGUUUGGCUUAGCUAAACCGUAUUGUAAACUGUAGAAACAUUUUCCUGGCACACCAGAUUAAUAAGUCCUUUGGAACAAGGCAUCAUGGAGGGUGAGAAUCCCGUCUUUGAUCUGAGUAGUUGUCUUUUGUGAUAUGUUUUCAAAGAGUCAGGUUGUUUGGGAAUGCAGCCUAAAUUGGGUGGUAAAUCUCACCUAAAGCUAAAUAUUUGCGAGAGACCGAUAGCGAACAAGUACCGUGAGGGAAAGAUGAAAAGAACUUUGAAAAGAGAGUUAAACAGUAUGUGAAAUUGUUAAAAGGGAACCGUUUGGAGCCAGACUGGUUUGCUUGUAAUCAACCUAGAAUUCGUUUUGGGUGCACUUGCAGGCUAUACCUGCCAACAACAGUUUGAUUUGGAGGAAAAAAUUAGUAGGAAUGUAGCCUCUCGAGGUGUUAUAGCCUACUAUCAUACUCUGGAUUGGACUGAGGAACGCAGCGAAUGCCUUUAGGCAAGAUUGCUGGGUGCUUUCGCUAAUAAAUGUUAGAAUUUCUGCUUCGGGUGGUGCUAAUGUUUAAAGGAGGAACACAUCUAGUAUAUUUUUUAUUCGCUUAGGUUGUGGCUUAAGA